AUAGACCCCUUUGCAGAAGAUGUUCAAAAUUUUGAUUGUAAUUGGGCUUGGGAAUCGAAUCGAACGUGAACUUAGCCUACCUGACUCUGAAGGCGUAAACAAACCCAUUUCGUGGCACCAGAAGCGCUCGGAAGUGCUCGCUUGCAAUGCGUCUUGCAUGCCAAAGAGUCUUAAUUCCGUUCAGAUUGUGAAAUUGCCAGCCAGGCAGCCAGCAUCAAGGUCGCUCAACUGCGUUGACAACAAACUGCGGCCAGAUCAGCUCUGACCUUUACUUUGUGUAAUCAGCAUUUCCGUUUCGCUGAAGGACUUAAUUAUGAUCGAUGAAUUUAAGGCUAGGCGUGAACUAAAUCAGAAGGGACAGGCGUGUCAAUAUAGGCAGAAAGAAUCUUAUAUCGUGGCCGACAUGACGUAUGCGCAAUCUCUGUGCGUGCAGGCGUAUACGUAAUUUGCUUAUCAAUCAUACGCAAUGCUCGCUGCGGCCCACGCGGCGCACUUGAAUAAGCCAAAGCGUGAAGAAUUCUUUUUGAAUUCACCUUCUUUUUUUCUAUUUUUUUUUUUUUGUGUGUCAGCGCCGCACGAAUUAUGAACUCCAAAAAAUCGCAAGCAAAUAAAAUUGAGAUGAAAAAAAAAAUAAAAUAAAAAUAAAUAAAAAGAUGCGCAACUCCAUUGAUCAUUUAAGAGCAAAGAGCAUGUUCUAGUGCCAUGCGGAAAUUGUUUUUAGUUGUAGCUGAAAAACAG